rnacentral:ncRNA from 1 species
GGCCCGACGGAUUAAAAGGGAAUCGGGUGAAAGUCCCGGACAGUCCCGCUGCUGUGAAACUCAUAUAACAGCGCAUCGACAAUCACCAUGCCACUGGUCGGACGACUGGGAAGGCGGCGAUGCGAGAGUAAGUCAGAAGACCUGCCAUCACUUUUG